rnacentral:rRNA from 1 species
CCUACGGGAGGCAGCAGUGGGGAAUAUUGGACAAUGGGGGGAACCCUGAUCCAGCCAUGCCGCGUGUGUGAAGAAGGCCCUCGGGUUGUAAAGCACUUUCAGUGAGGAAGAACGCCUGGUGGUUAAUACCCAUCAGGAAAGACAUCACUCAGAGAAGAAGCACCGGCUAACUCCGUGCCAGCAGCCGCGGUAAUACGGAGGGUGCGAGCGUUAAUCGGAAUUACUGGGCGUAAAGCGCGCGUAGGUGGCUUGAUAAGCCGGUUGUGAAAGCCCCGGGCUCAACCUGGGAACGGCAUCCGGAACUGUCAAGCUAGAGUGCAGGAGAGGAAGGUAGAAUUCCCGGUGUAGCGGUGAAAUGCGUAGAGAUCGGGAGGAAUACCAGUGGCGAAGGCGGCCUUCUGGACUGACACUGACACUGAGGUGCGAAAGCGUGGGUAGCAAACAGGAUUAGAUACCCGAGUAGUC